rnacentral:rRNA from 1 species
AUUGAACGCUGGCGGCAUGCUUUACACAUGCAAGUCGAACGGCAGCGGGGUAGUGCUUGCACUACUGCCGGCGAGUGGCGAACGGGUGAGUAAUAUAUCGGAACGUACCGAGUAAUGGGGGAUAACCAAUCGAAAGAUUGGCUAAUACCGCAUACGUCCUGAGGGAGAAAGCGGGGGAUCGCAAGACCUCGCGUUAUUCGAGCGGCCGAUAACUGAUUAGCUAGUUGGUGGGGUAAAGGCCUACCAAGGCGACGAUCAGUAGCGGGUCUGAGAGGAUGAUCCGCCACACUGGGACUGAGACACGGCCCAGACUCCUACGGGAGGCAGCAGUGGGGAAUUUUGGACAAUGGGGGCAACCCUGAUCCAGCCAUGCCGCGUGUAUGAAGAAGGCCUUCGGGUUGUAAAGUACUUUUGUUAGGGAAGAAAAGGGAAGUGCUAAUACCACUUUUUGCUGACGGUACCUAAAGAAUAAGCACCGGCUAACUACGUG